GAUGAACGCUGGCGGCGUGCCUAAUACAUGCAAGUCGAGCGAACGGACGAGAAGCUUGCUUCUCUGAUGUUAGCGGCGGACGGGUGAGUAACACGUGGAUAACCUACCUAUAAGACUGGGAUAACUUCGGGAAACCGGAGCUAAUACCGGAUAAUAUUUUGAACCGCAUGGUUCAAAAGUAAAAGACGGUCUUGCUGCCACUUAUAGAUGGAUCCGCGCUGCAUUAGCUAGUUGGUAAGGUAACGGCUUACCAAGGCAACGAUGCAUAGCCGACCUGAGAGGGUGAUCGGCCACACUGGAACUGAGACACGGUCCAGACUCCUACGGGAGGCAGCAGUAGGGAAUCUUCCGCAAUGGGCGAAAGCCUGACGGAGCAACGCCGCGUGAGUGAUGAAGGUCUUCGGAUCGUAAAACUCUGUUAUUAGGGAAGAACAUAUGUGUAAGUAACUGUGCACAUCUUGACGGUACCUAAUCAGAAAGCCACGGCUAACUACGU
rnacentral:rRNA from 1 species